GAUGAACGCUGGCGGCGUGCCUAAUACAUGCAAGUCGAGCGAACAGACGAGGAGCUUGCUCCUCUGACGUUAGCGGCGGACGGGUGAGUAACACGUGGAUAACCUACCUAUAAGACUGGGAUAACUUCGGGAAACCGGAGCUAAUACCGGAUAAUAUAUUGAACCGCAUGGUUCAAUAGUGAAAGACGGUUUUGCUGUCACUUAUAGAUGGAUCCGCGCCGCAUUAGCUAGUUGGUAAGGUAACGGCUUACCAAGGCAACGAUGCGUAGCCGACCUGAGAGGGUGAUCGGCCACACUGGAACUGAGACACGGUCCAGACUCCUACGGGAGGCAGCAGUAGGGAAUCUUCCGCAAUGGGCGAAAGCCUGACGGAGCAACGCCGCGUGAGUGAUGAAGGUCUCCGGAUCGUAAAACUCCGUUAUUAGGGAAGAACAAAUGUGUAAGUAACUAUGCACGUCUUGACGGUACCUAAUCAGAAAGCCACGGCUAACUACGUG
rnacentral:rRNA from 1 species